rnacentral:lncRNA from 1 species
UUGCCAAAAUCAGCAAACGUCCGGCCAGAGUAACCAUCAAGAUCAAGAUGAUAUAACUAAAAAGUAGCAAUAGCAAUAAUGGCAAUCUGCCAGACAAUAGGGAAAAAAAUCUAAAUAAACAAAAUUAUUCUCUUUUAUAAAAAAAUGUUGCAUUUUAGAAGCCAAUAAUAAUAAUAAUAUGCAACGGGCCAGAGAAGUUACGUUGCAACAAAUUAACUUGGUUAAGGAUGAGAAAAUUAAGAAACCUGAUAG